GUCAGACACAUCUGGGUUUCUAUUCUAACUUUCACUUCCACCCUGUGUGAUUUAGGCAAGUGCUCAUUUUCUCUGACUUGCUACAUUCUCACCUGUAAAAGCAGCCUGAGCUUGUUGUGAAAACGGAAAGGACGGUACAAAUAAUGCCUAGCACAUUGCUUGGAACAUAGGACACACUCAAUGCCUGACAGCUCUCGGUGGAGAAAAAAGUCUGGUGUUACAAGAGAGAAAAUACCUCUUUGGGAUUUUUUAUUCACGAAUAACAUCAACAACUUGUGAUUCUCUAAUGCAGUCUCUUCCUCCCACACUUGCCAUUGCAAAGGUGGGGCUGUAAGGACAUGGGGACACAGCAGUGAAGAAGAGAGAUGAGAUUCCUUCUUCUAUGGAAAUUAGAUUCUGUCAUCAAGAGAUAGACAAUAAAAAGUCAAUAAAUAAACAACAAAGAAUCUGACUAUAAAAUGUGCUUUCCAGAGAAUGUGUGUUAUGUAAUAGAGCAUGACUAAUUUUCUAAUGUUGAUUAGAAAGUUGAGUUAGGGUUCUAAGAAGAAGAGAUAUUUAAGCCAAGAGCUGAGUGACAGGAAAGGCAAUAGCUAGUGUGAAGAUUUAAGGCAAUGACAAGCUUGAUAUGUUUUAGAAACAGCAGGAAGCCAGGUGCUGUUUAAAUACAUGAGCAAAAAAGGAAAGUGUCACGCCUCUGAGCUCAAGCUAAGUCAUCAUAUCCCCGUGACCUGCAGAUAUACAUCCAGAUGGCCUGAAGUAACUGAAGAAUCACAAAAGAAAUGAAAUUUAAAUGGCCUGUUCCUGCCUUACUGAUGACAUUCCACCACAAAAGAAGUGAAAAUGGCUGGUCCCUGACUUAACUGAUGACAUUACCUUGUGAAAUUCCUUCUCCUGGCUCAUCCUGACUCAAAAGCUCCCCCACUGAGCACCUUGUGACCCCCACCCCUGCCAUCCAGAUAACAACCCCCUUUGACUGUAAUUUUCCUUUACCUACCCAAAUCCUAUAAAACAGCCCCACCCCUAUCUCCCUUCGCUGACUUUCUUUUCAGACUCAGCCCGCC